UAUCUCUUGAAAUGGCUGACCUAUCAACUUUCGAUGGUAAAAUCAAAGUUUACCAUGGUUAUAACGGGUAACGGGGAAUCAGUGUUCGAUUCCGGAGAGGGAGCCUGAGAAACGGCUACCACAUCCACGGAAGGCAGCAGGCGCGCAAAUUACCCAAUACCGGCUCGGUGAGGUAGUGACAAUAAAUAACAAUAUGGACCCUAGUGGUUUCAUAAUUGCAAUGAGAACAGUUUAAAUACUUUAUCAAGUAUCAAUUGGAGGGCAAGUCUGGUGCCAGCAGCCGCGGUAAUUCCAGCUCCAAUAGCGUAUAUUAAAGUUGUUGCAGUUAAAAAGCUCGUAGUUGAAAUUGGGGAAUUGAAUAGCAUGUCGAUCUUUGAUCAAUUGUUAUUUAGUCCUUCGUGGUCGUGUAUAUCAGUUGAGUUCUUUAUUGAAUUUGAUUGAUAACCGACAAGUUUACUUUGAAAAAAUUAGAGUGCUUAAAGCAAGCUUAUGCUUGUAUAUUGUUGCAUGGAAUAAUGAAAUAAGACUUCGGUUUUAUUUUGUUGGUUUUCGAAACUGAAGUAAUGAUUAAAAGAGACUGCCGGGGGCAUAUGUAUGCUGGUGCUAGAGGUGAAAUUCUUAGACCAUCAGCAGACAAACUACUGCGAAAGCAUUUGCCAAGAAUGUUUUCAUUAAUCAAGAACGAAAGUCAGAGGAUCGAAGACGAUCAGAUACCGUCCUAGUUCUGACCAUAAACUAUGCCAACUGACAGUUAGCUAAGGAAAUUUAUUACUCCUUGCUAGAAGUCACCGGGAAACCUAAGUCUAUGGGUUCCGGGGGAAGUAUGGUUGCAAAGCUGAAACUUAAAGGAAUUGACGGAAGGGCACCACCAGGAGUGGAGCCUGCGGCUUA
rnacentral:rRNA from 1 species